CCUACGGGCGGCUGCAGUGAGGAAUAUUGGUCAAUGGGCGGAAGUCUGAACCAGCCAAGUAGCGUGCAGGAAGACGGCUCUAUGAGUUGUAAACUGCUUUUAUACAGGGAUAAAGCUGCUUACGUGUAUUGCUUUGAAUGUACCGUAUGAAUAAGGAUCGGCUAAUUCGGUGCCAGCAGCCGCGGUAAUACGGAGGGUCCGGGCGUUGUCCGGAUUUAUUGGGUUUAAAGGGCGCGUAGGCUGCAUGUUAAGCGGGCUGUGAAAUGUCCGGGCUCAACCCGGGCCUGGCACAGCGAACUGGCGGGCUUGAGUCCGCGGAAAGCAGGCGGAAUUCGUCGUGUAGCGGUGAAAUGCGUAGAUAUGACGAAGAACCCCGAUUGCGAAGGCAGCUUGCUGGAGAGGAACUGACGCUGAGGCUCGAAAGCGAGGGUAUCGAACAGGAUUAGAUACCCCUGUAGUC
rnacentral:rRNA from 1 species